CCAGCACUUUCACAGGCCCUCCCCUGGGCUGUGGGGCCAGGAUUUGGUAGCUGGUGUAGAGAAAGCUCUGGGUUGCAUCCUUGCCCUGGGACUGUGCCAGGGGCAGCUGUCACUCACUGGGACAGAG
ensembl:snoRNA small nucleolar RNA, H/ACA box 30B